rnacentral:rRNA from 1 species
AUGAGCAAGCCAAGCAACCAAGGGAAGCGGGGAGGAGGCCUCAGCAGGAUGCUGAGGGAGCACAAGGCGAGGCUCUACAUCAUCCGGCGGUGCGUCGUCAUGCUGCUCUGCCACCACGAUUAG